UUCCCAUUUUACAUAAUUCCCAUAAUAUAAUGUAUAAUUGAUUAUUUUGUAAACUUAAUUAUGUCUGUACUACAGAACUCAUGUUAUCAACAUAUCUUAUUUAGGACUAUUUUACUGUCAUAGGAACAUUGAGAUGACUGUAGUUACUACAGUGUAGUACUUCUCAUUAUCUUAUAUGGGCAAACAUGUCAUUUUUUGUUUCAGCUAAAAUUCAAAGCAAUAACAGCGUAAUAAGCUUAAAUUUAAAAAAAAACCUAAACAACUAUGUUUGGACAGCCAAUUAUACCAGAAAAGAAAAAUGUUUUCAGUUUAUUAUAAAACAACAUACACUUGCAGAAAUACUGAUAAAAUAACCCAACUUCACAGAGAUAGCAUAAUUAUCUUUUUAUUGGAGGUUUAAACAUUUUUGAUAAAAAACAGACAACAUUUUUUGAAAGGAAUGUAUACUUCCUAUAAUCAUGUCUCAUUUCAUUAGUGUUGUAGAUAUCUCAGACUAGCAUCCAUUGACAUUCCACACUUUGAAGGUCAAAUGUGUUACCUUUAAACUGAACUAUAUUUAAGCAAAGAUUUUUUUCCCUUCAUAUCAUAUUUUCCUGGGUCUCAAUGGAUUUGGUUCUAAAGAGCUGUUUAUUACUUAUUUUUCUUUUUUUGCUCAAAAAAUGAUCUAUCUUUGAAAAGUUGGGAUUUUUAAAAAUAUAGUUGUUUGAGGUUUAAAUAGGCUAAACAUGCAUAUCUUGAUUAAAUUUGUGUAUGCCAGCUAUGUGUUUUGUCUUCUAAAGACUCAUCAUUGUCGCUAAAAUAGAAAAUUGUAAAAAUGCAAAUGAAGUAUUGAGAAUCCAAAAUUCUGAGAGGUUUUGCAAAUUACAGCCAAGGUUUAUCUAAUCCUGGGUUAGAAAAUCCUUAGUAUUUCGUAAAAUUAAGUUUUGUUAACAAAUAAUUUACAAUUGCGACCAUCUCAAUGAUAAUUCAUGUCAACACAUAAGUGUUGAGAACAAAUUUGUUUUCUAGUCGAAAGUAAAUAAAACAAAACUUGAUGAACUAAAGUAAGAAUACUACCUCAUUAACAUUAGAUCAUAUUUAGUUUGUAAUAUUUAUCUUGGUAUAUAUUAUACAAUUAAGUGCAAUUAAAGCUACUAAUCAAAUAUAAGAAAACAGUAUAAGUAGAAUUAGUUUUGUUUUCAUAACUCAUUGUGCAAUAAUUUCUUUGACCAAAGAUCAGAAUUUAUAGAAUAAAUCUGAUUAUUUUUAUUAUAGAACAAAACGUUGAAGGGAAUCAUUAUUGUCAGAUAAUCUACCGGUAAUGUAAAGAUAAUCCUAUUUAUUUGUUUCCAAUUUUAUCUUGUUGGGGCCUUUUAUAGCCUACUAUAAAGUAUGAGUUUUGCUCAUUGUUGAUAGCCAUACAGUAAUCUGUAGUUUCUAAAAGUAACAUUGUUUAGGCUUUGUUGGCUAGUUGUCUCAUUAUAUUUUAUAUAAACUGGAGAAAUUUUAAAGGAGAAGUUACAUUUUAUGGCUUACUUUGUUCUGUAGAUUCAUCCAAUUUUUUUUCAAAUGUAUGAUUUACAUUUUUCAAUUUCGAAAGCUAGACAUUCACAAAGUGUAAAUAUAAGCCAUGCUUCAUUGACAAAUUUUAACUGUAUUAGUGGGAUUUUCAGAAGAAAAAAAUUAAUUAGUAAAUUUAUGAAACAUUUUAACUUAUUUAAUAUAUAGCAUGAUCCAUUGUUCAAAAUGAUUGUUUUGUCAUUGAAUAGAUAUAAACACAAUAUACACCUACUGAAAAUUUCUUUAAGAAACAGUUAUGCUCUACAUUAUUUCUCAGUAUUGAUGAACCGAAUAGUUUGUCACAGUUUUGUGCAAUAGCACUAUUAUACUGAAUUAACCAGUGAUUUAUUAGCUCUGCUGCAUAACCCAUGAAGUGGGCAUUAAAUCAAAACUUCAAUAUCUAAUUUUGACAAAAUGUUUUUUAGAAAAUAGCCCAGACUAGUGAGGAGAAAUCCUUUAAUGGUUGAAACAUUUGUUGCUAAAGAAAAGGAUUCAGUCUUCUGGGAUUGUCUUCUUUUAUUUAUAGCAUCCAUCAAUCAAUCAUUAAUUUUAACAUGUAACAAUCGUGUUUAUAACAGAAAUCCAGAACUGCUCAGUAAUGCUUAUGUAAUGAUUAAUAUUUAAAUUUUGCAAAUUUUAUUUUCAAAAUUUGCAUUUGAUCCAGUACAAAUGUAUAUAUGCAUGAAGUCCUCUUUUUGAAGAUUUUUGGUAAAUGUAUUUGGUGAAUAAAUGUUUACAGAUAAAAUGUAAUCCAUACAAAGUACAAAUUUACAUGUGUAUUAGUCACAUACAAAGUACAAAUUUACAUGUGUAUUAGUCACAUACAAAGUACAAAUUUACAUGUGUAUUAGUCACAUACAAGGUACAAAUUUACAUGUGUAUUAGUCACUUCUUGUUAUUUAUUUGUUAUUGUUAUUCUUUUUUUUGAAUUUUUUAAGGUGGAAGCCAUGAAAAAUUAAAAUAUAU
rnacentral:lncRNA from 1 species